AAAAAUUCCUAUGGAUUAAUCAGUGAAUAGACCAAAUAAAAACCAAGAGGAACAGUAAAAUUUCAACCCUAACGAAAUAAUAUUAAAAAUCUGUAGUGAGUGAAUUAAGAAAGACAUAUAUACCUCAAGGAGGAAGUAUUAUUCAAAAUUAAGAAAGAGAUGGCUCAUCUAUCACCACCACCAUCUCCGCCGAUUCCUCAGCAGUAUCCCUUUCCGGGAUUGCAGCAUCUUGAAUCGCCGGCUAGUGUUAUUCAGAGAGCAUCAUCCGUCUUUGGAGCUUCUUUGGAGCACAAAUGGAAUCCAAGAGAUCUCUCUCUUCUGUACAAUCCACUUUUGUACUCUGGUGCUUUUUUCUGGCCACCACUUCUCUUGCCAUGUCCAC